CUGUGGUAUAUACGGUCCAUCCUUGAUCAGAAUAUUGUUAUGCUGCUCAAGACUGUACUCCUAAUUACCACCAGGUUCAGGGGUACAUGUUACAUGGAUAAAUUGGGUGUUGCGGGGUUUGCUGUACACAUUCUUUCCUCACCCAGGUCAGCUCAGCUGGGCCUGACCACCACCAUCAGGCCAAGGAAGAGAACAUAGCAUGGAACUCUUUCUUGUGAAUGAGACUCUUCUGCUACCUUU